rnacentral:rRNA from 1 species
GAUGAACGCUGGCGGCGUGCCUAAUACAUGCAAGUCGAGCGAACUGAUUAGAAGCUUGCUUCUAUGACGUUAGCGGCGGACGGGUGAGUAACACGUGGGCAACCUGCCUGUAAGACUGGGAUAACUUCGGGAAACCGAAGCUAAUACCGGAUAGGAUCUUCUCCUUCAUGGGAGAUGAUUAAAAGAUGGUUUCGGCUAUCACUUACAGAUGGGCCCGCGGUGCAUUAGCUAGUUGGUGAGGUAACGGCUCACCAAGGCAACGAUGCAUAGCCGACCUGAGAGGGUGAUCGGCCACACUGGGACUGAGACACGGCCCAGACUCCUACGGGAGGCAGCAGUAGGGAAUCUUCCGCAAUGGACGAAAGUCUGACGGAGCAACGCCGCGUGAGUGAUGAAGGCUUUCUGGUCGUAAAACUCUGUUGUUAGGGAAGAACAAGUACGAGAGUAACUGCUCGUACCUUGACGGUACCUAACCAGAAAGCCACGGCUAACUACGUGCCAGCCGCCGCAGUAAGAC